rnacentral:rRNA from 1 species
AUGCCAGCCAGGGGAUGGCUCGGCUCAAGUGCUGAAGAAGGACGUGCCAAGCUGCGAUAAGCCUCGGCGAGGCGCAUGGAGCCAUUGAACCGAGGAUGUCCUAAUGGGAAAUCCUAAGUCUAAGACUUGAUCCUCAAGGAUCGGGAACGUCCCGGAUUGAAACAUCUUAGUAGGGACAGGAAGAGAAAUCAACCGAGAUACCGUCAGUAACGGCGAGUGAACGCGGUAGAGCCUAAACCGAAUCCUGCAAGGGAGAUGUGGUGUUAUAAGCUGGUCUAAACGUUUUAAUCUGGAAGUCGAAGUGGCCUGGAAUGGCCUGCCAUAGAGUGUGAGAGCCACGUAGUCGUAACAGAUCAAUACCGAGACCAUGACUUGAGUACCGUGCGUCGGAAAUCGCGCGGGAAUUUGGGGGUCACCAACCUCCAAGGCUAAAUACAACUUGAGACCGAUAGCGUAGUAGUAGUGUGAACGAAAGCUGAAAAGUACCCCAAAUAGGGAGGUGCAAAGAGCCUGAAAUUGGCUGGCGAUAGUGCGUUAGGGCGCCAAAGGAUCUUUCUUUCGAAGGAAACGGUGGCAACGCCGCAGUACGAGAGAGACUGCCAGCGUUCUAACAUGCGUUUUGAAGAACGAACCAGGGAGUGCAUAUUGGCGGCGAGGCUAAUUCUUUAACAGAGGAAGCCGUAGCGAAAGCGACAAGCGCGCAUGAGAAGAGGCGCGACGUAUACAAGUGCGUGCAGUCGUCCGUAUGCGACCCGAAGCCGGGCGAUCUAGGCGUAGGUAGGUCGAAGCGUGGCGAAAGCUGCGUGGAGGACCGUUUGAGGUGUUGAUAUGCAAAUCGCUCUCGUGACCCGCGUCUAGGGGUGAAAGUCCAAUCGAGGUCGGAAAUAGCUGGUUCCUCCCGAAACAUAUCGCAGUAUGACCUGGUCUGAGAUAGUCGGCGGAGUAGAGCACUGAUUGGGGAAGCCGGACUCGAAAGGGUCUGUUCUCUUGUCAAACUCCAAAACCGCCGUCGUCGUAGACGACCAGCAGUCCGGGCUGGGGGGUAAGCUUCUAGUCCGUGAGGGAGACAACCCUGACCGUGGUUAAGGUCCCCAAAUAUCGGCCAAGUGUCAACACUUAAGGGAGUCCUGGGUCAUAAACAACUGGGAGGUUAGCUUAGAAGCAGCUAUCCUUUAAAGAGUGCGUAACAGCUCACCAGUCGAGAUUCAGGGCCCCGAAAAUGGACGGGGCUAAGCCGAUUACCGAUACCACGGAGCACCGCAAGGUGAUCUAGUAGGGAGGCGCUCUGCGUGGGCAGAAGCAUCUGCGUGAGCAGGUGUGGACCGCGUAGAGACGAAAAUCCUGGUAGCAGUAGCAGCAAAAUCGGGUGAGAAUCCCGAUCGCCGUAAGGGCCAGGGUUCCUCGGCAAUGUUCGUCAGCCGAGGGUCAGUCGGUCCUAAGACGUACCUUAAUCGGAGUACGCCAAAUGGGAAACAGGUUAAUAUUCCUGUACCUUUCAACAUUAAAACUGACGCUUCCGGAUAUGUCAAGCGUCCUUGCCUGGGCGUUCAAUCGUAUAAUCCUGUGGAGAGCCGUAAUGGCGAGAACCAGGAGAAAGCGUGAUGACGUAAGUUGGCAAAUUCCAGGAGUCCGUGAAAAGGGAGUUGAAAGUCCGUACCGAGAUCCAACACUGGUGCCCCAAGCUGAGAAGGCUAAGGCGUUUCGGCAUAUGCUAGCUAAGGGAAUUCGGCAAAUUAGCCACGUAACUUCGGGAUAAGUGGUGCCUGCUUUGCAAAAAGCAGGUCGCAGUGACGAGGGGACUCUAACUGUCUAAUAACAACAUAGGUGAUUGCGAAUCCGUAAGGACUAGUACAAUCACUGAAUCCUGCCCAGUGCAGGUACCUGAAAACCCGGUUCAACGGGAGGAAGGGCCUGUCAACGGCGGGGGUAACUAUGACCCUCUUAAGGUAGCGUAGUACCUUGUCGCUUAAUUGGCGACUUGCAUGAAUGGAUUGACGAGUGCCCUACUGUCCCUAACACGAAACCGUUGAACAUUUUAUCCU